CAGCAGCCGCGGGAAUACGUAGGGCGCAAGCGUUAUCCGGAAUUAUUGGGCGUAAGGAGCUCGUAGGCGGUUUGUCGCGUCUGCCGUGAAAGUCCGGGGCUCAACCCCGGAUCUGCGGUGGGUACGGGCAGACUAGAGUAAUGUAGGGGAGACUGGAAUUCCUGGUGUAGCGGUGAAAUGCGCAGAUAUCAGGAGGAACACCGAUGGCGAAGGCAGGUCUCUGGGCAUUAACUGACGCUGAGGAGCGAAAGCAUGGGGAGCGAACAGGAUUAGAUACCCGCGUAGUCCCUGUCUCUUAUAC
rnacentral:rRNA from 1 species